rnacentral:rRNA from 1 species
AUUGAACGCUGGCGGCAUGCCUUACACAUGCAAGUCGAACGGCAGCGGACCUUCGGGUGCCGGCGAGUGGCGAACGGGUGAGUAAUAUAUCGGAACGUACCUUUCAGUGGGGGAUAACGUAGCGAAAGUUACGCUAAUACCGCAUAUUCUGUGAGCAGGAAAGCAGGGGAUCGCAAGACCUUGCGCUGAUUGAGCGGCCGAUAUCAGAUUGGCUAGUUGGUGAGGUAAAGGCUCACCAAGGCGACGAUCUGUAGCGGGUCUGAGAGGAUGAUCCGCCACACUGGAACUGAGACACGGUCCAGACUCCUACGGGAGGCAGCAGUGGGGAAUUUUGGACAAUGGGCGCAAGCCUGAUCCAGCCAUGCCGCGUGAGUGAAGAAGGCC